rnacentral:siRNA from 1 species
CAAAGAUUUUAGAUGAAAACUA